rnacentral:rRNA from 1 species
GACGUAGGGCGCGAGCGUUGUCCGGAUUUAUUGGGCGUAAAGAGCUCGUAGGCGGCUUGUUGCGUCAGCUGUGAAAACCCGCAGCUCAACUGUGGGCUUGCAGCUGAUACGGGCAGGCUUGAGUUCGGUAGGGGAGACUGGAAUUCCUGGUGUAGCGGUGAAAUGCGUAGAUAUCUGGAGGAAUACCGGUGGCGAAGGCGGCAUCCUGGACCGGCAUUGACGCUGAUGAGCGAAAGCUAGGGGAGCAAACGGGG